rnacentral:snRNA from 1 species
AGCUUUGCGCAGUGGCAGUAUCGUAGCCAAUGAGGUUUAUGCAAGGCGCAAUUAUUGCUAAUUGAAAAUCUUUAAAAAAAAAAAAAAAAGGAGUCUCCUGUCUCCUAUCCCCUCUCCUACCUUUCCACCAGGACAAGCCUCUAUUUUUUAGAAAAUAGGGAGCCGCCAGUGGGAAAGAUUAU